GUUACAGUGGUAUUAUAUUUAUUUGUAACAGAGACAAGAAAACAUAUCAUAGGGAGCCCAUUACCACGAUAUACAAAUUAAUCUUCAACACUCAACAGCCAUUGACCUGAUAGAGGUCUCAUGAGAUCAUAAUAUACAAAACUUCAACCCAUGUAUGUGCUAAAAAAUAGUAACUUGGAGGUUUAUUUUUAAAUAACAAAGUGGCUUUGGGGUGUAUUUUCAUUAUACCAUGGACAAAGAUUUUUAUAGUUCUGGGCAGUGCGUUUUUUUCCCCAAUAUAUUUGGAAACCUUGCAAAACUAUGGCAACCUGCAUGGCAAAACAUUACUUGCAAAAAAAACAGACCUCCCUUUCUAAGAGGAGUACUAAAUGACAAAACCUCUCAGUGUUAUUGUAAAAACUUCCAAGGCAAUUCCUGCAGAGGGUGCUGUGGGUAUGCUCAGGGCCUUCACCAGGGGCCCGUUGCACAAAAGUAGGAUUCAGACAUCCAGGAUAGAUGACUGAACUGGGUUCAGUGAAUCCAAAACAAGAGCGUCCAGGCUUAAUUGGUUGCACAAAGACCAAGCCAGGAUGAGCAGACACGGAUUCAUCAAGCCAGGUGAAACCAAUCCUGGAUCAGUGCGCGCACGCGGCUUCCUCAAAUAGACCCCGCCAUUGAUCACAGAUUCACCGAUUCACCAUGGCAACAAGAGCGGCGUACUUUUCCCCGUCGGAGGCAGAAAUCCUCAUGGAGGCUUACGAGGAGGUAAAGGAUCAAAUCAAAAAGAAAGGCAAAACCGCCACAGUAAUAAAACAACUAGAGAAAGCGUGGCAAAGUAUUGCAGACCGCCUGAAUGCAUGGUCUGCGAUGCUGACUAUCUGAUCAGCAAUGUUGUGGCAAAGUGGCCUGGCUCGGUCCAUGACUCCCGAGUCUUUCGGACCUCUGGAAUCUAUCAGCGCCUAUCACAAGGUGAGCCACACAACCUCUAUUAAUAACCACUUUUUAACAUCAUGGCUGUGUCAAGAAUGUCACUCUAUUUAUGAGGAUGUGAUGAUGAGAUUUUGUAUUGACAGGUGAAUUCUCUGGUGUGUUGCUGGGGGACAGGGGGUAUGCCUGCCAGACUUUUCUCCUCACACCAUACACAGACCCUCAGGAAGCACAGCAGGCCUAUGCCAGGACAAGGGCCAGGAUCGAAAUGACCUUUGGCUUCCUGAAGGCACGCUUUCACUGUCUUAACCACUUAAGGGUCAGCCCUUUGAGAGCAUGUGACAUCACUGUGGCCUGUGCUGUCCUCCACAAUGUGGCCUGCCUGAGGAAGGAGAGGGCCCCCAGAGUGCCAUCACACAUGGACUGGGACAAUCCUGCCAUCUUCCCUGAUGACGACAGUGGUCGGCUGGUCAGGGACCAAUACGUGUUAAAUUAUUUUAGUUAACAUGCAUGUUUUUAAAUUUAAGUUAAAUAUGUCCUGCAGUGGCAGAGACGCAUGCUGUGAAUUUCAGUUAAAUAUGGCCUGCAUUGGCAGAGGAAUUUGUGUGUGUUUUUUUUUAUUCAAUUUAAAUUGAUUUGGCCUGUUAUGUUGUUUGUGCUGUAUACUGUGUGUAUACAAGAUUGCAGGGAGGCUACUGCAUCCAUUCAUUUGUCUGUUCAUUUGCUGUGUAUGGAUUUGUCCUGCAUUUAUUUCAGUGUGCAGACAUGCGGGGUGUAUCACAUACAGACCUUUGAAUGUGUAUUUAUUCUUGUGUUGUAUAAUAUGCUUUGAUUCCGUGCUUUCUAUCUUGUAGAGUCACUGUGUGACUUGAAAAUAUCAGUUUUGAAAGGAGCUGAUGGUUUACUUGCUUUGAUUUAUCCUUAUUCAAUAAAGGAACAUCAUAUUACUCUUUGUGUAUUUAUAUUUAUAUGGGAUGUGUAUUUUAUAUAUAGUCUAUGGGAAACUGUAAAUUAUCUAAUGAUUGCAAAAUCAUCUAAAAUCAUCAUUUAUCUAAAAUGAUUGCAAUUAAUGAUCACAAAUGUUUAAAUAAUAACAGUGGGUCUGGCUGAAUGUGAUAACAAUGUGCAGUAGGCAGUGGAAUAACUAUUGGUUUCCGUUUGUGGUGACUGCUGACUGAGAUAAGGGAUGAGAUUAAAUAGAUCCUGGAACUUAGCCUGGUCUGGAGCAGGCCAGCUUCACAGAAUAAAUCUCCAUGGUAACUUAUGUCAUAACAUAUCCCGCUUUCCACUAUCCCGCUUUUGUGCAACCGGAUCACAGAUAAGUUGAGCCAGGAUAACCAAGAUAUCCCGGCUUAAUCCCUUAUCCUAGUUUUGUGCAAAAGGCCCCAGCUCAGACUCAUGUAAAAGAGAUAACAUUUCUAUUUAGGUAUUUGUUUUUUAUCUUCUACUUUUGCUGCUUUUUACUUACUAUUUGUUG